GCUGUGUGAUCUGGGGGCCUAGAGCAGUCGCACUGCUUGGCCCCUCCCCGCGUAGCUUAUAAACAAUAUUUUCAGACGGCCAUCUCACGUGAACACACCCUAAUUUGCAAAGUAAUUUGAAGUUUCAUCAGUGAAACAUGUCGAAUAUCCAAAAAAUUGGGAUUGCUUGACCAAGAUUUUUGACCUAUAGGAGCACAAACGGCUGCAAAGCUUGGCCAAAAAGGCUUGGCCUCUCUCCUACUACCUUGGAAGACCUUAGUGUCUGCCCACAUCGAUGGUUUACUGAUCUGGGUGUAAAGAAUGGCCGUGCGAUCAAGCGUCAGUCUGGAGAGGUCCAGAAUGGAAGAGGUGAACUUGAACGGGAAAUCCUGCGAGACAUUGAAAGAACGAUCGACAGUCUACCUAGGAUUGCAGCGCUGUCUAUGCUUGGUGGUGCUGCUGGCCUUGCGGCUGUCUUCUAUGGAGGUGUUUUUCUUGUUGCCGCUGCCAAUAAGUAGACGGUUUAACCAGUGGGCAGUUCGCUGCGGGUUGGUAGGUGGCAUAUGUUAGUUUAAGAGUGUUUUAUUUUUGGGCAAUGCUUACUCUUAUGUAAGAGCGACGCGACGUUUCUAAUUCUAAUUAGGGCAAAAUACUACUGUUUAAACCAUUAUAUUUGGCUGUUGUGUGUUCUGAACCGAAAAAAGGAGUGUUUAACAAAGAUGGGAACUCAUGUUGGAUUUUGUUCGUGUGCAGUUUCAGUGUGGCUGGUGGAGGUUAGAUUUGAGGACAUAAGAUAAAAUAAAAGAAUGUACCCUUCUAUCCAAA